UGCAUCGGCCAGGAAUCGAAACCCGGGCCACCCGCGUGGCUGGCGAGCAUUCUACCACUAAACCACCGAUGG